rnacentral:sRNA from 1 species
AAAUUGGAAAAUUCAACAAAUUAAAUCAAACCGAGGGUAAAUUUUAUAUCUCAAUGGCGGGCUGCGACUUUCGGGUUAUGCUCUGCGGAGCACGGCAGAUUACAAAGAGUUACAAAUCCUCAAAUCCUAUUAUUAGGAAUUUUUCUCAAU